GACGAAGGGGGCUAGCGUUAUUCGGAUUCACUGGGCAUAAAGCGCGCGUAGGCGGCUCUUCAAGUCGGUGGUGAAAGCCCCCGGCUCAACCGGGGAAUUGCGCCCUAAACUGGCGAGCUGGAGUGAGAUAGGGGUGUGUGGAACUUCCGGUGGAGCGGUGAAAUGUGUUGAUAUCGGAAGGAACGCCGGUGGCGAAAGCGACACACUGGAUCUUGUCUGACGCUGAGGCACGAAAGCCAGGGGAGCGAACGGG
rnacentral:rRNA from 1 species